AUGGGGUUGUCUUCGGCCGCUGAGAUCGACGGGGCGCAGCUGUGCAUCUUCGACCUGAGGAGAGGGCAGCAGGAGGGGCAGGAGCUCGACAAGAUCCUCUUCUUCCACCCGGCUGACUGCCCCAUCCUGCUCCAGCUCUCCGUCAUUGGCCUCUGCGAAGGAAUCAUCACUUUCACAAGAAUAUUUUCUCCAGAAGAUGACUGUGAGGUGAUAGAAUCUGAUAAACACUGCCACGUUUUUUACCAAGCUGAGCCAGAUAUUUGGAUGGUUCUGGUGGUGCAGAAAAUUAAGGACAAUGAAUCAACUUUGCGCUUUGGUGCAUUGCAAGGAAUACUAAAAGAAUCUCAUUCACUUUUCGCAAUGUUUCAUGGACCAAUUCGAACUUUACUUGACAGACAACCAAGUGCUGAAUUUGCCCGUGGUCACCUCCAUACAUUUGUCACAGAUUAUUUGAGCGAUUUUAGUGUUGGCAAAAAGCUACAAUUGCCAACCUACCGUGAUAGCCUAACGGAGCGGGGAACAGUCCAAAUGCUAACAGUCUCACGAGAAGUGGCACUUGAAGUUCAGUCACUCACCACAGUUCUUGGGUCAUGUCUUCGAAACGUAAUCUGCCAAUCAAUUGUAUUAUUUGAGGACCUCUUGGUGUCUACAACACUUCCCCUGGAUGAUACGUUAAACCUAUACACUUAUGCAAUCCUGCGGUUGACUCCUAGUGCUUUAUCUUCCAACGGGAAUUCAUGGUCCUAUUUGCGGAAAGGGGGUUAUGUUAAUGCUGACACCACUUUAAGUUCGGCAAAUGGAGCAGCUGCAGCAGAAAGGUACAAUAGUCGAUCUCGUGACACUUCUCCUGGUGGACAAAAUCAGAUGCACCAUAAUUUCAGGCCUCUUCAGCGUGAGAAAUUGUCCAAGGGAAAAGAUGGUUUUGUUGCUGCUGACUUUGCAACUACAGAAAUUCGUGGUGCUGUACCGUUGAAUCCAAUACUGUGGUUCCAUCAGGCAGAGGAGCGCAUGUAUUUAUGUGUUUAUCAGCAUAAGAACCUUACUAUCUUGCUAGUGAUUCCAGCUUCCUCACUGAUAAAUGGAGAAGAGGGUAUUGCUCAUGUGAAGAGGCAUCUUCUUGAAAAUGCCUCACAGAACAUUGUCACUGUUGAACAAAAAUUAUCACGAGGAUGGGGAGGAGAAAAUGCCUAUCAUGUCGGUGGAUACCGUUAUAUACUCUCUGAUCCAAACAGAAAAGUAUCAAGAGCCUCCCCACCUGGGAAAGUCAUCACCCUGUCAAAGGAUUCUCUACUUGCCCUCAACAGGCUAAGAGGAGAAAUAGAUCUAGAGAAGUCAAGAGCUAAGAGGAGUGACCCUACCCAUGACAAGGAUUAUGAAGUAUGCAUCAGAGCGAAAAAUAAUGCAUGGAUUAUUGCUAAAAUUUCUCGAGGAAAAGAACUCUAUAUGGCUAUAGAGAAGGGCGGCGAAACACUUCUCUAUGCAUCUACAGCUGUUGAGAAAUUUAGCAACAGGUAUCCGAACUGA
rnacentral:rRNA from 1 species